UGCAAGUCGAACGUGAACGGGGCUUCGGCCCUUAGUAAAGUGGCGCACGGGUGAGUAACACGUGGAUAAUCUGCCCUUAUGAUCGGGAUAACAGUCGGAAACGGCUGCUAAUACCGGAUACGCUCAAAAUGAACUUUUUGAGGAAAGGUGACCUCUGCUUGCAAGUUACUGCAUGAGGAUGAGUCCGCGGCCCAUUAGCUAGUUGGUAGGGUAACGGCCUACCAAGGCGACGAUGGGUAGCCGAUUUGAGAGGAUGAUCGGCCACACUGGGACUGAAACACGGCCCAGACUCCUACGGGAGGCAGCAGUGGGGAAUAUUGCGCAAUGGGCGAAAGCCUGACGCAGCGACGCCGCGUGAGGGAUGAAGGUUUUCGGAUCGUAAACCUCUGUCAGAAGGGAAGAAACCGCACCGUGCUAAUCAGCGGUGCAUUGACGGUACCUUCAAAGGAAGCACCGGCUAACUCCGUGCCAGCAGCCGCGGUAAUACGGAGGGUGCAAGCGUUAAUCGGAAUUACUGGGCGUAAAGCGCACGUAGGCUGCUUUGUAAGUCAGGGGUGAAAUCCCACGGCUCAACCGUGGAACUGCCUUUGAUACUGCUUAGCUUGAAUCCGGGAGAGGGUGGCGGAAUUCCAGGUGUAGGAGUGAAAUCCGUAGAUAUCUGGAGGAACAUCAGUGGCGAAGGCGGCCACCUGGACCGGUAUUGACGCUGA
rnacentral:rRNA from 1 species